rnacentral:rRNA from 1 species
UACGUAGGUGGCAAGCGUUGUCCGGAAUUACUGGGUGUAAAGGCGCGUGUAGGUGGUGGGACUAAGUCUGCUCGUGAAAAGCGCCGUGGCUUAACCGGGCGAGGUCGGCGGAAACUGUCCGACUGAGAGGACGGUAGAGGGGGUGGAAUUCCCGUGUAGUGGUGAAAUGCGUAGAGAUCGGGAGGAACACCUGUGGCGAAGGCGGCCCCUGGGCCGGCCCUGACACUGAGACGCGAAGGCGUGGGGAGACGAACGGGGAUU